AACCGAGAUACAGACCCUACUCCAACCGGAGGCAGCAACGUCGAAUACUGGACAGUGGGCGCAACCCUGAUACAACGAUGCCGCGUGUGUGCAGAAGGCCUGAGGGUUGCACACCUAUUUCAGUGGGGAGCAGGGUUGAUAGGUUGAGACCUACUUACUAUGUACGUUACACACGUAAGAUGCACCGGCUAACUCCUUGCCAGCAGCCGCGGUAAUACGGAGGGUGCGAGCGUUAAUCGGAAUUACUGGGCGUAAAGGGUGCGUAGGUGGUUGAUUAAGUUAUCUGUGAAAUUCCUGGGCUUAACCUGGGACGGUCAGAUAAUACUGGUUGACUCUAGUAUGGGAGAGGGUAGUGGAAUAUCAGGUGUAGCGGUGAAAUGCGUAUAGAUCGGAAGGAACACCAGUGGCGAAGGCGGCUACCUGGCCUAAUACUAACACUGGAGCACGAAGGCGUGGGGAGCAAACAGGAUUAGAUACCAUGUUAGCCCGCGCUGUAAACGAUGUCAACUAGCUGUUGGUUAAAAGAUAAUAUUAGUGGCGCCGCACACGCGAUAUCCUUGACCGCCUGGGGAGUACGGUCGCAAGAAUAAAACUCCACGGAAUUGACGGGGGCCCGCAACAGCGGUGGAGCAUGGGGUUUAUUACCUGCAACGCGAAGAACCUUACUUACCCCUGACAUCCACGAAUUAUUGAGAGAUGCAUCCUCCCAUACGGGACUCCGAUACAGGGGCUGCUUGGGUGUCGGCCCCACGUGCCGUGAGACGAUGGGUCAGUCUCUUAACCACCGCAACCCUUAUC
rnacentral:rRNA from 1 species